CUGCUGCCUUCCGUAGGAGUUUGGACCGUGUCUCAGUUCCAAUGUGGGGGACCUUCCUCUCAGAACCCCUACGCAUCGUCGCCUCGGUGGGCCGUUACCCCGCCGACUAGCUAAUGCGCCGCAUGCCCAUCCGUGGCCGGGAUUGCUCCCUUUGGCGGCCUUGGGAUGCCCCAAGGCCGCGUUACGCGGUAUUAGACGGGGUUUCCCCCGCUUAUCCCCCUGCCACGGGCAGGUUGCAUACGUGUUACUCACCCGUGCGCCGGUCGCCGGCAACGG
rnacentral:rRNA from 1 species